UCAGAUCUGGUGGCUUCAAAAGAAAGGGAUGAGUACAUGAACACAUGGUGUCUUCGAUCUUCAGAUCUGGUGGCUUUGAUCUUCGAUAUUCAGAUCUCGUAGCUUUGAUGGUGGCUUUGAUGAAAAGGCAUGAAAGAAGAAAGUUCAAGUGCUACGAAGACGGAAAAACGCACAAGACCGAGGCAAAUCCUUGACUUCAUAGCUUGGCGACUCGGAACGAACACACUCGAUAUCACGCCCAUCUAGCGCUUCCGAAGAUGUCACAUUAGUAUGGUCUUAGUUUUGGUCAUAUGUAUUUUAACAUAUGUAAUCUUUUUGGUGUCCUUGUGAAUUGGGUAAAAACUUGGUUAGUAAGUAGCUUUUGUAUUAAAACAACUUAAACA